rnacentral:rRNA from 1 species
UACGUAGGCAGCGAGCGUUGUUCGGAGUUACUGGGCGUAAAGGGUGUGUAGGCGGUUGUUUAAGUUUGGUGUGAAAUCUCCCGGCUCAACUGGGAAGGUGCGCCGAAUACUGAAUGACUUCGAGUGCGGGAGAGGAAAGUGGAAUUCCUAGUGUAGCGGUGAAAUGCGUAGAUAUCAGGAGGAACACCGGUGGUGUAGACGGCUUUCUGGACCGUAACUGACGCUGAGACGCGAAAGCGUGGGGAGCAAACAGG